CAGGAGGUGAACGGGAGAAAGGACCUUGGUGAAAUUUAAUCACGAGGGAAACGGUACUGAGCAAACUGAUGGAGCUGUGGGCUGGCAAGUCUCCGGGUCCUGAUGGACUACAUCCUAGGGUCUUAAGAGGUGGCUAAUGAGGUGGAAACAGUACAUGACGGCUCACAACUCAAUUCCCAAUAGGACCCAAAUGAGAGCACCUGGCUUGCUAUCUUUGUAUCAUCUGGGUACAUCAAUGGCCGGAUGCCCCUAGUUAACAAGAUUCACAAGGAUACUCUAAGUUAAAGGGGUGUAGCUGAGGGACAUGGGGAGAGCUUUGGAAUCGCACCACAGGAAUGGUCAUUGGUGACACCUGAUUCAUCACUACCCAACUUGUUCUGCG